UACGUAGGCAGCGAGCGUUGUUCGGAGUUACUGGGCGUAAAGAGUGCGUAGGCGGUUUUCUAAGUUUGGUGUGAAAUCUCCCGGCUUAACUGGGAGGGUGCGCCGAAAACUGGAAGGCUUGAGUAUGGGAGAGGUAAGCGGAAUUCCUGGUGUAGCGGUGAAAUGCGUAGAUAUCAGGAGGAACACCCGUAGCGAAGGCGGCACUCUGGGCCGAUACUGACACUGAGGAGCGAAAGCGUGGGGAGCGAACAGG
rnacentral:rRNA from 1 species